GCAGCCGCGGUAAUUCCAGCUCCAAUAGCGUAUAUUAAAGUUGUUGCAGUUAAAAAGCUCGUAGUUGGAUUUCUGCGAGGGUGCCAAUGUCCGCCGACGCGCGUGCGCAGCGGCGCCCUCGCAUCCUUCUGUUACCACCUCUCGGCAUUCACUUGCCGGUGGUCGGCUCAGAGAAUUUACCUUGAGAAAAUUAGAGUGUUUCAGGCAGGCUAGGCCGGAAUACAUUAGCAUGGAAUAAUGGAAUAGGACUACGGUCUCGUUGUUGGUUUGAGGGACUGCAGUAAUGAUUAAUAGGGAUAGUUGGGGGCAUUAGUAUUUAAUUGUCAGAGGUGAAAUUCUCAGAUUUGUUAAAGACUAACUUAUGCGAAAGCAUUUGCCAAGGAUGUUUUCAUUGAUCAAGAACGAAAGU
rnacentral:rRNA from 1 species